CUUGGGGGAAACCGCUUACUAUAAAGAACAAAAGGCGCAUGUCAAUAUUCCAGAUACAAUAUAUGGAUCAGUGUAUUACUGUAAAUUCCGUACCAGACUCCGCGUUGCGCGCGGUAAGAAUUCGCGCGGGAAAUUUUAACUUGAAAAAUAAAGAAAAUAAACAGAGGAAUUUAGAAAAUAUUUUCAAAUGUUUUCAAUCUAAUUUUAUUAUAAUUUCCUGAGAACCUAAACUAUUAGUAGACCCUAUUAAUGACCUGACGACUGACGUGAUUCAAGCAUGAGUAAAAA